GGAAGGGUAGCUCAGUGGCAGAGCACCACCUUCGGGUGGAAGCCUCACGGCUUCGCGUGGUUCAAAUCCCGCCCCUUCCG
rnacentral:tRNA from 1 species